UCAAGUUUACGAGGUUUGUUAGUACUUACAACAUUUUAUUUUCAAAUGCUUAUUAUAAAUUAAUAAAUAUGUUAAACAUUAACAAAAUUAAUACACAAAUAAAAGGACAAAUAAUUGCUUUCUGUAAUUAUUGGUUCUUAAAACAUAAAUGAAAAAUCGAUGUGAUCGAUAAACACGCAUAAAAAACAGUCGAUUUACGAACGUCUGUCUUUGACAUAUGACAUUAAAGGAUUGUAAAUGUAAAUAUUGUUACCGGCGAAAUAUGUAUAUAAAUAAAAGUGAAAUUACUUGUUGAUUACCUGAAAAUAUGACGGGGAGUCCGUUUCUACACAGGGAGGUAGUACCAGGAUAAAUCUACGCUAAUUCUAGCCACUGUGGUCCCAAUGCGGACAUUCGGUUUUAUGGCUCAUUGGGAAGCAGGCACAGCAAAGAGGUUUGGGGUUUAAUCCCUAGCAAGGACGCCCUUGUGGCGAUAUGAACGCCCUUGGGGCAAAAUGUUGAAAGACUCGAUCUUGAGAUGCCAGUCAUGCUGACCAGUGUGGAGGCAACGAGGACAGCGGUUAGAGAAAGGCUCUAACAGUCAUUCCAUACAUGCAGUGUAGCCACUGCUAACCAAAGAGUUUGGAACAA